UGUUGUUGCUCCGGUAGUGGUGUUUCUGGAAAAUGGCUACUGCCUUGUCAUUCAAAACCCUGAUAUCAAUCCGGUGCACCAUAAAAACAACUUUUCUGAUCCUAAACCCAUCUUCCAUGUCUGGCGCGGUCGUAUGGGAAACAAGUAUGGUGAGCAAUGGCGGCACCAAAGGUUGGACAAAGCCAGUCUCUUCUCCACCUAUGUCUUCAACCUCCGAGAUUUAAUUCUUCUUGGGAUGCUUACAUUUGGAGACCCAAAAGUAAGCAUCUUUUUGCUGCCUUUUGGUCCGAUUACGCCAAACUUGCUAAAUAUGGCCAUAAUAGCCCAUCUCCUGAUCGUGGGCAAAAAUCCUGUGGUUGGGACCCUGGACACAUAGGAGCCUCCAUUGGACCACCCAGGUUGGGCUCUAGGCAAGCAGAGGCCGAAGAUUACAACUUGGGGUGUCUAAAAGGCCAGACAUUGUGGCCAGCCGAACUCAGAAGCGACCGAUGAAGAGCAUGUGGCCUUUAUCUUUUUUUGGCUUUACAGGUAUGUCGUCUGCCCCUCCUUCAUCUUUCGCACACUUGGAUAUUUCUAUCUAUUUGGCCAUGGAUUGAUUUUGGUCUAUUGGCACUUUAUUCUUGUUUAACCUUUUCUAAUGUCUUUACAAAGUUAGUGUUGACCUGUCCAGCCAAGCCAAGCUCAAUACUGGUUGUCCGGGCUCUUUUUGGUUUGUGAAACUCUUAUUCUGUUUGUAUUUUCACCCAAUAUUUUUCAGCCGCCUAUCUCCCUUUCCUGACCCAAGUUGAAUGCUUGGCUUAUCACUCCUCCAAUUCUGCUCUGAACAAAACCACUUUCGUCUUCCUCUUGCCACCAUUCAGUCCAUCCUUAAAUUUGAUUCAUCCAAUAUCCAAUACUACCCAUAUCAAAAUUAUGUCAUCUAUGCCACCUUUCUGUUAUAGUUCUCUCUUGUGGAUGAUUUUCCUUAUCCUCUUUCUUUUCCUCUUCUUCACCCAACCUACGUUAAUUCCUAGGAUUCUACCCUCAAACCAAGGUCGCUCUUCGUCAGUGAGAAGUUGGAGAAGGGAAAAAAAGCUUAUGUCGUCUUCCAUUGCCAACUCUAGUACCUGGCUUGCCAAUUCAGUUGCUGUCAGGUCUUUCCAGACCCUGUCUCUUAUCCUCACUUUAUCUCCAUCACCCCAGAGGGUCUGGCUCGAUCUCAUCAAAUAAAAUCCUACAUCGACCUCCUAUCAGCCUAUACUACCUCCUACUUAUACACCCAUUUCAAACUCUCCCCCGAAUCAAUCAAAGGUUUUAAGAAAUGGUGGGGCCUCGUCUAGGCCGUCAUAGGGCGACUAAUCGAAGACUGUGUGCGGAUCCUUUCCCCUCCACCAUUGUUGGCCUAGAGUCCCAGCCUGUCUUAACCAAUUUGCGGGAACCCGCUCCACCAAAGCGCAAGGCUGCGAUAGGGCAAAGGGCAAGUUCCAGUGCUCCGAAGAGAAAGAAGGCCUCUGAGCCUUCUUAAUCAGUAGCUGGCCCGCCAACCACCAACUCAUCACCCGAGAAAUACCUAGUAUCCUCUCCAAUAGACACUACCUGGCUCCCAAUCAGCCUGCGACGGACGCUCCCUAUAGCUCUUAGUAACAUCCCAUAUUUUUUUUAAGAUCGUCUUUAAAAUAUAACUUAUUCUUACAUUGUUAUUUCUGUAUAGUUGGCAUUGUUGAUUCUUCUAUUGGACCGAUUGUCCUCAAGUUGAAUCCAGACACUACAUUGCCAACCAUCACACCAACUGUCUAGGAAGGUGCCAAAACUCUGCUACUCUGACCAACCUUCUGACCAACCCAAUUCACAAUCCUUAUGUUUCUCACCCUACACCACCUUUCGUAGCCGAUCAAGGGGCUACACCCCUGUUUUCGGGCGACCUCCAGGCCCCCAAAACUGACAGGGUCGACAUUACUCUUGCUUUUUGUCCCCCAAAGAGACUAGUCGGUAAACGGCCAAUGUGAGGAGGCACCGGUUGUGAGGCAAGGCUCUGCAGAGCAGUUUUUCAUCUCUUUUAGUUGGCCACUCCAUUCGCUCCAUCAAAUUAUUUUGACCGCGAGUCGGUGGCUCCGGGGGAAGAAGUUUUUGUAAGCAUUUUCCGUUGUUUGUCAUUUUAAUCUCUUUUGCAAAUACUAACUUCCAUUUAUUUUGGGAAUCAAACCACCAAUCCUUGCCACCACUGAAGCACAAGUUGGCGAUUCUCCGACUACACUCACACUGCCCGACAUACUAAUUGUAGUGGCCUGUGAAGAUCUAAGUUGGGCCACUGACGUUCUAGCUCAUAAAUGCCUAAGUAUGAUGAGACGAGUGAGGGUGCAGCCAACUAUGGCAAGAAAUGCUCUUUUUGCUUGCGCCCGAGCUUGCCGGCCAGGUGUCCACUGCUGACGAGUGACAAUCCAGAAGUUUUGAGAAACGAUUAAGUGUAGAUCUCCCAACGGUCAACAAUCUAUUACUGGCCAACAACGAUAGUCUCGCUUGAGCUGUGCCAAUGCCCUCCAGCCAAGUCAAGUAGGAAGGCAAGAGAGGAAUAUCUGUACCCAGCUGAUAUAGUCCCGCAGACGAGCAAGCAAGCUAGGAGUUAGGGCAGUUCCAACUGCUCAACCAACUAACUGCUUAACUGCCUAACGGUUGCAACAACAUCUCAACUGCUACUCUGUAAUCGCACAACUUCCACCAACUGUCGUCCCAUAAAAUCUAUAAAUAGGGCCAUAUUUUAUUUGUAUCAUAUCAUUCACUAUGUGAUAAACUUCUUGCUUUUACUAUGUCGAUUUCCUGGUAGCUCUAUUCCUGUAACAGAGUUCUCUUAGUUAGAGAGGAGGUCAGGGAAGUGGAGAUUCUCUCGUACCCUAAAUGCCCAGUUUUAAGUUACUUUCUAGGCAGAUUUACAGCUUUUAUUUAUCCCUUUGUAAUGUAGAUUUAAAUUUUUCCUGGUGUUAAUUUAAUAUCAAGAUUUCUUUAUCUUCAAAUUCAUUCC